rnacentral:rRNA from 1 species
UACGUAGGGUGCGAGCGUUGUCCGGAAUUACUGGGCGUAAAGAGCUCGUAGGUGGUUUGUCGCGUUGUUCGUGAAAUCUCACGGCUUAACUGUGAGCGUGCGGGCGAUACGGGCAGACUGGAGUACUGCAGGGGAGACUGAAAUUCCUGGUGUAGCGGUGGAAUGCGCAGAUAUCAGGAGGAACACCGGUGGCGAAGGCGGGUCUCUGGGCAGUAACUGACGCUGAGGAGCGAAAGCGUGGGGAGCGAACAGG